UACAGAGGGGGCAAGCGUUGUUCGGAAUUACUGGGCGUAAAGGGCGCGUAGGCGGCCCGCUAAGUCGAACGUGAAAUCCCCCGAGCUCAACUCGGGAACUGCGUCCGAUACUGGCGGGCUUGAAUCCGGGAGAGGGAUGCGGAAUUCCAGGUGUAGCGGUGAAAUGCGUAGAUAUCUGGAGGAACACCGGUGGCGAAGGCGGCCAACUC
rnacentral:rRNA from 1 species